UGAUGAAACAUUUGCAUGUAAAAUAUGGAUUUCAAUGAAAUCAAACCAUUUUGGCUGUAGCAUGCAUAAGCAUUUUUAGUUUUAGUUUUCAUCAACUAAAAUUAAAAAUGAACUGGCUAUGCUGCCACUGCCUAUGAAAGAUGGCGCCCAGAUGGUUCAAAAAACAACAGAGCAGUGAGUCACACAGGCAUGCAUCUUAAGUUCUUGUAUUUUGUUUAAAUUCCAAAUUGAAAAAUCAAGUGUUAAAAAAAAUCAUUGAUAUCUUCCAUCUCAUGUAGCUUUGAUCGUUCAACAUUCGAGACAAGCCAAGCGUCGUUUACGUAAUGCUUCCAGAAUAUUCGAACACGUGAAUCAACUAGUGACAAACCACAAAGGUAUCACACGAAGACAAAACGAAAAAAGGUGCAAACAACCAUGUCUCGAAUGAAUUAAGAAUGAUAUAAUCUCUAAUCCUAAAGCCUCAGUUCAGUUUAACUUUGUGGAUGGGGAAACUACAAAAUUGAUAUAGAAUGUUCAGAAAGCUAGGUACUUCUCGCAUAGAAGGGUUGAAUGUGUUAGUGCCAAAGUGGAAGGGAAUGAAACAUACUUGGGUAUCUCAAAGCGGAAAAUAUCCUGUUAAAUACUCAUUAGAUAUGAUGUAUUGGUGAUUUCACAAAACAAUAGUGCUUGAAUCACUAUUUUGUAUAGUUCAAAGAUUAUUACAUGUGCCAGUUUUUAAACUAAUUUCUUGCUUGGAAACGUAGUGUGCUAUGUAAUAUUGUUGUGAGUCUGUCUUUAUUUUUACCAUUGCACUGAAUAACAAAUGACUCCUGAAGGGCUCAGGAAGAUGCUUCUGAGAAAGUUAACUGUCAAGUAAUAGAAUAAUGUCCAUAUCUAAAAAAAUCUUUUGAAUAUAACUCCUCGUCAGUAUUGGCUGUUACAGAGAAAUGUCAAUCAUAUUAUAGAGCAUAAUUGUAAAUGUUUUAUUUCAGAUUACUAACUAUAAUUUUAUUAUUAGGCGUAACCAAUGAGUACUGGGGAAUCGCGUCUUGAAAGCUUCGUGUUCCCUUCACAUAUUCGCACGUUUGAAUGCAAAUAUAUGGCGUUGCAUGAAAGGAGAUUACUGUCACCAAAGUGAGCAGGUAUGUGGAAAGUAAAUUUCUUUAUGAUAAUGAUAUUUUAUCAAUAAAUUAAAGAUCAAAAUGUUGAUUUAAAAUGAGCUGAUAAUAAAAAAUUGAAAUGUAAAUUUUGUGACAAACGUUUAUAUUCCUGUAGCCAAUGUAACAGACAUCUAAGAUUGGGAUUUCAGACUACAGAAAGGACGACCAACAACAAACAUCAAUCGUUGUAGCCAGUGCGGUAGCAAGAAUGAGGGAUAGAUAA